AACGAACGCUGGCGGCAGGCCUAACACAUGCAAGUCGAACGCUCGUAGCAAUACGGGAGUGGCAGACGGGUGAGUAACACGUGGGAACGUACCCUUCGGUUCGGGAUAACUCAGGGAAACUUGAGCUAAUACCGGAUACGUCCGAGAGGAGAAAGGUUUACUGCCGAAGGAUCGGCCCGCGUCUGAUUAGCUAGUUGGUGAGGUAACGGCUCACCAAGGCGACGAUCAGUAGCUGGUCUGAGAGGAUGAUCAGCCACAUUGGGACUGAGACACGGCCCAAACUCCUACGGGUGGCAG
rnacentral:rRNA from 1 species